rnacentral:snRNA from 1 species
ACCAUGAUCACGAAGGUGGUUCUCCCAGGGCGAGGCUCAGCCAUUGCACUCCGGCCGUGCUGACCCCUGCGAUUUCCCCAAAUGCGGGAAAGUCGACUGCAUAAUUUCUGGUAGUGGGGGACUGCGUUCGCGCUUUCCCCUGU